GGGUUGUGAGGUUAAGCGACUAAGCGUACACGGUGGAUGCCCUGGCAGUCAGAGGCGAUGAAGGGCGUGCUAAUCUGCGAUAAGCGCCGGUAAGGUGAUAUGAACCGUUAUAACCGGCGAUACCCGAAUGGGGAAACCCAGUGUGACUCGUCACACUAUCAUUAACUGAAUCCAUAGGUUAAUGAGGCGAACCGGGGGAACUGAAACAUCUAAGUACCCCGAGGAAAAGAAAUCAACCGAGAUUCCCCCAGUAGCGGCGAGCGAACGGGGAGGAGCCCAGAGCCUGAAUCAGCAUGUGUGUUAGUGGAAGCGUCUGGAAAGGCGCGCGAUACAGGGUGACAGCCCCGUACACAAAAGCGCAUGUGCUGUGAGCUCGAUGAGUAGGGCGGGACACGUGGUAUCCUGUCUGAAUAUGGGGGGACCAUCCUCCAAGGCUAAAUACUCCUGACUGACCGAUAGUGAACCAGUACCGUGAGGGAAAGGCGAAAAGAACCCCGGCGAGGGGAGUGAAAAAGAACCUGAAACCGUGUACGUACAAGCAGUGGGAGCACCCUUUGGGGUGUGACUGCGUACCUUUUGUAUAAUGGGUCAGCGACUUAUAUUCUGUAGCAAGGUUAACCGUAUAGGGGAGCCGUAGGGAAACCGAGUCUUAACCGGGCGUUAAGUUGCAGGGUAUAGACCCGAAACCCGGUGAUCUAGCCAUGGGCAGGUUGAAGGUUGGGUAACACUAACUGGAGGACCGAACCGACUAAUGUUGAAAAAUUAGCGGAUGACCUGUGGCUGGGGGUGAAAGGCCAAUCAAACCGGGAGAUAGCUGGUUCUCCCCGAAAGCUAUUUAGGUAGCGCCUCGUGAAUUCAUCUCCGGGGGUAGAGCACUGUUUCGGCUAGGGGGCCAUCCCGGCUUACCAACCCGAUGCAAACUGCGAAUACCGGAGAAUGUUAUCACGGGAGACACACGGCGGGUGCUAACGUCCGUCGUGAAGAGGGAAACAACCCAGACCGCCAGCUAAGGUCCCAAAGUCAUGGUUAAGUGGGAAACGAUGUGGGAAGGCCCAGACAGCCAGGAUGUUGGCUUAGAAGCAGCCAUCAUUUAAAGAAAGCGUAAUAGCUCACUGGUCGAGUCGGCCUGCGCGGAAGAUGUAACGGGGCUAAACCAUGCACCGAAGCUGCGGCAGCGACGCUGAUGCGUUGUUGGGUAGGGGAGCGUUCUGUAAGCCUGCGAAGGUGACCUGUGAGGGUUGCUGGAGGUAUCAGAAGUGCGAAUGCUGACAUAAGUAACGAUAAAGCGGGUGAAAAGCCCGCUCGCCGGAAGACCAAGGGUUCCUGUCCAACGUUAAUCGGGGCAGGGUGAGUCGACCCCUAAGGCGAGGCCGAAAGGCGUAGUCGAUGGGAAACGGGUUAAUAUUCCCGUACUUGGUGUUACUGCGAAGGGGGGACGGAGAAGGCUAUGUUGGCCGGGCGACGGUUGUCCCGGUUUAAGCGUGUAGGUGUGUGUUCCAGGUAAAUCCGGUUCACUUUAACACUGAGGCGUGAUGACGAGGCACUACGGUGCUGAAGCAACAAAUGCCCUGCUUCCAGGAAAAGCCUCUAAGCAUCAGGUAACAUCAAAUCGUACCCCAAACCGACACAGGUGGUCAGGUAGAGAAUACCAAGGCGCUUGAGAGAACUCGGGUGAAGGAACUAGGCAAAAUGGUGCCGUAACUUCGGGAGAAGGCACGCUGACACGUAGGUGAAGUGAUUUACUCACGGAGCUGAAGUCAGUCGAAGAUACCAGCUGGCUGCAACUGUUUAUUAAAAACACAGCACUGUGCAAACACGAAAGUGGACGUAUACGGUGUGACGCCUGCCCGGUGCCGGAAGGUUAAUUGAUGGGGUCAGCGCAAGCGAAGCUCCUGAUCGAAGCCCCGGUAAACGGCGGCCGUAACUAUAACGGUCCUAAGGUAGCGAAAUUCCUUGUCGGGUAAGUUCCGACCUGCACGAAUGGCGUAAUGAUGGCCAGGCUGUCUCCACCCGAGACUCAGUGAAAUUGAACUCGCUGUGAAGAUGCAGUGUACCCGCGGCAAGACGGAAAGACCCCGUGAACCUUUACUAUAGCUUGACACUGAACAUUGAGCCUUGAUGUGUAGGAUAGGUGGGAGGCUUUGAAGUGUGGACGCCAGUCUGCAUGGAGCCGACCUUGAAAUACCACCCUUUAAUGUUUGAUGUUCUAACGUGGACCCGUUACCCGGGUUGCGGACAGUGUCUGGUGGGUAGUUUGACUGGGGCGGUCUCCUCCUAAAGAGUAACGGAGGAGCACGAAGGUUGGCUAAUCCUGGUCGGACAUCAGGAGGUUAGUGCAAUGGCAUAAGCCAGCUUGACUGCGAGCGUGACGGCGCGAGCAGGUGCGAAAGCAGGUCAUAGUGAUCCGGUGGUUCUGAAUGGAAGGGCCAUCGCUCAACGGAUAAAAGGUACUCCGGGGAUAACAGGCUGAUACCGCCCAAGAGUUCAUAUCGACGGCGGUGUUUGGCACCUCGAUGUCGGCUCAUCACAUCCUGGGGCUGAAGUAGGUCCCAAGGGUAUGGCUGUUCGCCAUUUAAAGUGGUACGCGAGCUGGGUUUAGAACGUCGUGAGACAGUUCGGUCCCUAUCUGCCGUGGGCGCUGGAGAACUGAGGGGGGCUGCUCCUAGUACGAGAGGACCGGAGUGGACGCAUCACUGGUGUUCGGGUUGUCAUGCCAAUGGCACUGCCCGGUAGCUAAAUGCGGAAGAGAUAAGUGCUGAAAGCAUCUAAGCACGAAACUUGCCCCGAGAUGAGUUCUCCCUGAGACUUAAAGUCUCCUGAAGGAACGUUGAAGACGACGACGUUGAUAGGCCGGGUGUGUAAGCGCAGCGAUGCGUUGAGCUAACCGGUACUAAUGAACCGUGAGGCUUAACCUUACAACGCCGAAG
rnacentral:rRNA from 5 species